ensembl:lncRNA
CCUGGGAACGGUAGCCGGGGGCGAGGGGCUGGCGCGGCCGGAGCGGGCGGGGAGGCGCGGGGCGCCGGGGCGUAGAGGCGAGCGCGCCCGGCCCUGCCUGGGAUCAGAUAACAGCCGGCGGGGGAGGGGGUGGGCCGGCCGCGCUCCCAGCCGGACGGAGGGACGGACGCCAGCCGCGCCGGCCAGAGCGAGCGCCCCGCGGCCGGGGGCGCCGUCCAGGCGCGCGCCCCCGACCCGUGGCUGAACCGGGGAGAUCGGCGCCCCACACUGACGCGCCCCUUGGCAUGGAGCGCCCCCGGGGGCUGCCCUGAGGCGGCGGCGGCGAUGCAGCCAGCGCGGCGGCUGCCGGGGCCAGGAACGGCCGCCCGGAGCUCGGAGGACGCGGAGCGCGCCGCGCCCGGGGCACUGACCGAGGGUCUUCUAGCAACUGAUUCCUCUCCAGCUGGUGCCUGGGAAAUGGCAACUGCUGCUAACACAGACUUGAAGACAGCCACUUGCCCCCUCAGCACCGUUACUUAGAAGAUAGGAUUCAAGAGGAGACGCCCCACCCGGAGCCGGCCUGGGGGCGCGCC